UACGUAGGGGGCAAGCGUUGUCCGGAUUUAUUGGGCGUAAAGAGCGUGUAGGCGGCUGGGUAGGUCCGUUGUGAAAACUCGAGGCUCAACCUCGAGACGCCGAUGGAAACCCUCCAGCUAGAGUCCGGAAGAGGAGAGUGGAAUUCCUGGUGUAGCGGUGAAAUGCGCAGAUAUCGGGAGGAACACCUAUGGCGAAGGCAGCUCGCUGGGACGUUACUGACGCUGAGACGCGAAAGCGUGGGGAGCAAACAGG
rnacentral:rRNA from 1 species